rnacentral:rRNA from 1 species
AAGUCUGAUGGAGCAACGCCGCGUGAGUGAUGAAGGGUUUCGGCUCGUAAAACUCUGUUGUUGGAGAAGAACAGGUGAUAGAGUAACUGUUAUCAUCUUGACGGUAUCCAACCAGAAAGCCACGGCUAACUACGUGCCAGCAGCCGCGGUAAUACGUAGGUGGCAAGCGUUGUCCGGAUUUAUUGGGCGUAAAGCGAGCGCAGGCGGUUUUUUAGGUCUGAUGUGAAAGCCUUCGGCUUAACCGGAGAAGGGCAUCGGAAACCGGGAGACUUGAGUGCAGAAGAGGACAGUGGAACUCCAUGUGUAGCGGUGAAAUGCGUAGAUAUAUGGAAGAACACCAGUGGCGAAGGCGGCUGUCUGGUCUGUAACUGACGCUGAGGCUCGAAAGCAUGGGUAGCGAACAGGAUUAGAUACCCUGGUAGUCCAUGCCGUAAACGAUGAGUGCUAAGUGUUGGAGGGUUUCCGCCCUUCAGUGCUGCAGCUAACGCAUUAAGCACUCCGCCUGGGGAGUACGACCGCAAGGUUGAAACUCAAAGGAAUUGACGGGGGCCCGCACAAGCGGUGGAGCAUGUGGUUUAAUUCGAUGCUACGCGAAGAACCUUACCAGGUCUUGACAUCUUCUGCUAACCUAAG